rnacentral:sRNA from 1 species
GCGAUAGAAGGCUUGCAAGGGCGGUCGGCUAAUCUCCCCCGAAGGGAGGUGAGGCCAAUGGAGGUUUAUCAAGCGUUGUCUUUGAUGUUCAUGUUUGGCAUGUUCAUUAUUGCUUUGCUAAAUUACCUCAAAAAGAAAUAGACCGCCCUCGUCCAAAGGAUUACGGUCUAUUUCCUGACUGAACUUCCAAAAGCCGCCGCCCUUAAAAGCGGCUAUCGCAUUGGGAGCCGUGUUGAUGCACGGCUC